rnacentral:rRNA from 1 species
GAUGAACGCUGGCGGCGUGCCUAAUACAUGCAAGUCGAGCGAACGGACGAGAAGCUUGCUUCUCUGAUGUUAGCGGCGGACGGGUGAGUAACACGUGGAUAACCUACCUAUAAGACUGGGAUAACUUCGGGAAACCGGAGCUAAUACCGGAUAAUAUUUUGAACCGCAUGGUUCAAAAGUGAAAGACGGUCUUGCUGUCACUUAUAGAUGGAUCCGCGCUGCAUUAGCUAGUUGGUAAGGUAACGGCUUACCAAGGCAACGAUGCAUAGCCGACCUGAGAGGGUGAUCGGCCACACUGGAACUGAGACACGGUCCAGACUCCUACGGGAGGCAGCAGUAGGGAAUCUUCCGCAAUGGGCGAAAGCCUGACGGAGCAACGCCGCGUGAGUGAUGAAGGUCUUCGGAUCGUAAAACUCGGUUAUUAGGGAAGAACAUAUGUGUAAGUAACUGUGCACAUCUUGACGGUACCUAAUCAGAAAGCCACGGCUAACUACGUGCCAGCAGCCGCGGUAAUACGUAGGUGGCAAGCGUUAUCCGGAAUUAUUGGGCGUAAAGCGCGCGUAGGCGGUUUUUUAAGUCUGAUGUGAAAGCCCACGGCUCAACCGUGGAGGGUCAUUGGAAACUGGAAAACUUGAGUGCAGAAGAGGAAAGUGGAAUUCCAUGUGUAGCGGUGAAAUGCGCAGAGAUAUGGAGGAACACCAGUGGCGAAGGCGACUUUCUGGUCUGUAACUGACGCUGAUGUGCGAAAGCGUGGGGAUCAAACAGGAUUAGAUACCCUGGUAGUCCACGCCGUAAACGAUGAGUGCUAAGUGUUAGGGGGUUUCCGCCCCUUAGUGCUGCAGCUAACGCAUUAAGCACUCCGCCUGGGGAGUACGACCGCAAGGUUGAAACUCAAAGGAAUUGACGGGGACCCGCACAAGCGGUGGAGCAUGUGGUUUAAUUCGAAGCAACGCGAAGAACCUUACCAAAUCUUGACAUCCUUUGACAACUCUAGAGAUAGAGCUUUCCCCUUCGGGGGACAAAGUGACAGGUGGUGCAUGGUUGUCGUCAGCUCGUGUCGUGAGAUGUUGGGUUAAGUCCCGCAACGAGCGCAACCCUUAAGCUUAGUUGCCAUCAUUAAGUUGGGCACUCUAAGUUGACUGCCGGUGACAAACCGGAGGAAGGUGGGGAUGACGUCAAAUCAUCAUGCCCCUUAUGAUUUGGGCUACACACGUGCUACAAUGGACAAUACAAAGGGCAGCGAAACCGCGAGGUCAAGCAAAUCCCAUAAAGUUGUUCUCAGUUCGGAUUGUAGUCUGCAACUCGACUACAUGAAGCUGGAAUCGCUAGUAAUCGUAGAUCAGCAUGCUACGGUGAAUACGUUCCCGGGUCU